UACGAAGGGGGCUAGCGUUGCUCGGAAUCACUGGGCGUAAAGGGUGCGUAGGCGGGUCUUUAAGUCAGGGGUGAAAUCCUGGAGCUCAACUCCAGAACUGCCUUUGAUACUGAAGAUCUUGAGUUCGGGGAGAGGUGAGUGGAACUGCGAGUGUAGAGGUGAAAUUCGUAGAUAUUCGCAAGAACACCAGUGGCGAAGGCGGCUCACUGGCCCGAUACUGACGCUGAGGCACGAAAGCGUGGGGGAGCAAACGGG
rnacentral:rRNA from 1 species